GCUACUGUUACUGCCACUGCCACUGCAACUACUCCAGAGAUGCAUAACUUUUAUGAUCCAAUCCCUAAUCCAGUGUGUUGGUGACUGGGGAGUUUGGACGGUCAUAGAUCCCUGCCAUGAUUCCAAGAUUGAAAGCUGUGUAUUGAAUCAUGCAGAUUCUCAUCACCUUUGAUUUUUUUUAUGCAUUUUUUAAGUUUUAUAUAUGUGAUAAUAUUCUCCAAUAUUCUCG
rnacentral:misc_RNA from 1 species